AACGAACGCUGGCGGCAUGCCUAACACAUGCAAGUCGAGCGAGACCUUCGGGUCUAGUGGCGCACGGGUGCGUAACGCGUGGGAAUCUGCCCUUGGGUUCGGAAUAACAGCGAGAAAUUGCUGCUAAUACCGGAUGAUGACGUAAGUCCAAAGAUUUAUCGCCCAAGGAUGAGCCCGCGUAGGAUUAGCUAGUUGGUGAGGUAAAGGCUCACCAAGGCGACGAUCCUUAGCUGGUCUGAGAGGAUGAUCAGCCACACUGGGACUGAGACACGGCCCAGACUCCUACGGGAGGCAGCAGUGGGGGAAUAUUGGACAAUGGGCGAAAGCCUGAUCCAGCAAUGCCGCGUGAGUGAUGAAGGCC
rnacentral:rRNA from 1 species